UAAACCAAGCAAACAUUGGCUUCCCUUUGUUUCUUGGACUUGAUUUUCAUGGCUGGCCCAUCAGCAAGAGAUAAUGGUCCUUACCUUUGAGUAUUUGAUCUCCUUUUGGGCUGACAAAGGUCAAUCCGUCCAUGAGUCUGAUCCACAACUUUUCCAUUGAUUUGUUCUUCAUAGCCAAUAUAAGCUCAGUAUUCUCCAUUCCAGCCUCUGGUUCAUCUUCAAACUUUCCAUGCAUCCAUCCAGGCUUAUCCUUAGUCGCAUAGUCAACUGGCUCAACCAUUGUUGCAUCAUCCCCUCCUCCUUUGAAACAAUUUGUCCUCAAAUCCAAGUGAUGUAGAAUGAUAGAACCAUGAUCAUAUGACUUGAAAGUACAUGUUCUGGAAAUCAGAGAUAUCAUCACACAAUGAUUCUCUCCAGGGUCAAACACAAAGCAUUGGAAUCCUUCUUCUUGUCUCUCUCCAGGGUCAAACACAA
rnacentral:lncRNA from 1 species